rnacentral:rRNA from 1 species
GACGAACCGUGCGAACGUUAUUCGGAGUCACUGGGCUUAAAGCGCGUGUAGGCGGCCCGGCACGUCCGUCGCUGAAAUCCCCCGGCUCAACCGGGGAAGGGGCGUGGAUACGGCCGGGCUGGAGGGGGGUAGGGGGAGCCGGAACUUCCGGUGGAGCGGUGAAAUGCGUUGAGAUCGGAAGGAACGCCCGUGGCGAAAGCGGGCUCCUGGACCCCACCUGACGCUGAGACGCGAAAGCCAGGGGAGCGAACGGG